AUGUCUCCCCUUUGCCACACCUUUUCUCCUCUUCGUCGCAUCGUCCUCUUCCUCCAGCACGCCUCCUCUUCCUCCCCCCUCCUCCUCGCUAAAACCCUAGCCCCGCCCAGCGCUCCGCCUCCAAGCUCCUCGCCGCCGGCCGAUAUCCCCGACGGUUCCUGGGCCAGGGCCGGCGUCCCUUGUCUCCACGCGAUGGCGAGCCGCGGGAAGAAGGGCGGGGGGAAGGGGGCGGAGGACCUGGGCCGCGCGCUCAUACGGCAGCAGAACAGGGCGGCGGCCGCCGCCAAGGAGCGGGGCGAGGCGCUCGCCUCCUCCUCCCGCCGCCGCGCGCCGCCCCUCGAGUCGGUCAUCGACGUCAGCGAGAUCGACGCCGUCCUCCAGCGCGCCGCCGAGGAGGACCGCCUCCAUUCCGCCCUCGCCGCCGCCGCCUCCGCCUCCUCCUCCAACCUCAUCAUCGACCUGGAUGCGACGGGGGAGACAGCCGAGGAGAGGCGAAGGCUUCGGAAGGAGCAAGAGGCGCUGCACGCCAACAGCCUGGGGGUUCCAAGGCGUCCGCCGUGGACUAAUCGGAUGACCGCGGAGGAGCUCGACACGAGCGAGCGGCAGGCGUUCCUUGAGUGGCGGAGGAAUCUUGCGAGAUUGGAAGAGAAUGAUAAGCUUGUCCUUACACCUUUCGAGAAGAACAUUGACAUCUGGAGACAGCUCUGGAGAGUAAUUGAACGCAGUGAUUUGCUGGUCAUGGUAGUUGAUGCUCGAGAUCCCUUAUUCUACCGAUGUCCUGACCUUGAGGUAUAUGCAAAGGAACUUGACGAACACAAGAGAACAAUGCUCCUUGUCAACAAGGCUGAUCUACUACCUUUAAAUAUCAGAAAAAUAUGGGCAGAUUAUUUCAAGGAGCACGAUAUUCUUCAUGUUUUCUGGUCUGCUAAAGCUGCUACUGCCACAUUAGAAGGAAAGAUGUCGAGUGGUGAAGAAAAUUCUGCUUCACCUGAUAUGGAUACCAAGAUAUAUGGCAGGGAAGAGCUUUUGAUGAGGUUGCAAGCUGAAGCGAAAUCUAUCGCAGCACAAAGAAGGACGUCAGCUAGUAAAGGGGAACAAGAAGCAAGUUCUACCGAUUCUGUUCCAUCAGUGGCUAAACAUGUAGUUGCUGGAUUUGUUGGUUAUCCAAACGUCGGGAAGAGUUCCACGAUAAAUGCUUUAGUUGGCGAGAAGAAGACCGGUGUCACUCACACACCCGGUAAGACGAAACAUUUCCAGACAUUGAUAAUCUCUGAAGAGCUCAUGCUGUGUGAUUGUCCUGGUCUGGUCUUCCCUUCAUUCUCAAGCUCGAGGCAUGAGAUGGUGUCAUGCGGUGUCUUGCCGAUCGAUCGGAUGACAAAGCACAGGGAAGCCAUACAAGUGGUGGCAGAUCGUGUCCCAAGAGACGUCCUGGAGCAGAUUUACAAAAUCACCUUGCCGAAGCCAAAGCCAUACGAAUCACAAUCCCGGGCACCGACUGCAGCCGAGCUGUUGCGGGCAUACUGCGCGUCUCGGGGCCAUGUCAGCCAUGGCGGGCUGCCUGACGAGACCAGGGCUGCUAGGCAGAUACUCAAGGACUACAUCGACGGCAAAAUCCCGCACUAUGAACUCCCUCCUGGUGUUGUCACGGAUGAUGAAGUAGAAGCAAGAGAAUCUACCGUUGCAGCAGCAGCAGAAGGCCCGACUGCUUCAGCAGCUGACGAAUCUGGCAGUGAGGACUCCGAUGAACAGGAUGGUAGAACAGGAGGUCCAGACAUGAGGCUGCUCUUGAGUGACCUCGAGUCUUUCGACUUGGCCGCCACCGAAGGAUCCAAUGUCACUGGAAAGAAGAAGCAGCACCAGGCAUCACAGAAGCAGCACAGGAAACCCCAGCGGAAGAAGGACCGGUCCUGGAGGGCUAGCAACGAUGGCAGCGAUGGGACGGCGGUGGUAAGGGACUUCCAGAAGCCCACCGUCAGUACUCCCACGGUCAGCGUGAGCGGAAAUGUUUAG
rnacentral:rRNA from 1 species